rnacentral:rRNA from 1 species
AGAGUUUGAUUAUGGCUCAGGAUGAACGCUGGCGGCGUGCCUAAUACAUGCAAGUCGAACGCUUCACUUCGGUGAAGAGUGGCGAACGGGUGAGUAAUACAUAAGUAACCUGGCAUCUACAGGGGGAUAACUGAUGGAAACGUCAGCUAAGACCGCAUAGGUGUAGAGAUCGCAUGAACUCUAUAUGAAAAGUGCUACGGGACUGGUAGAUGAUGGACUUAUGGCGCAUUAGCUAGUUGGUAGGGUAACGGCCUACCAAGGCGACGAUGCGUAGCCGACCUGAGAGGGUGACCGGCCACACUGGGACUGAGACACGGCCCAG